GAUAUCAACAUCUCAUUUCAUGUUCACAGAUCAAUUAAACGAUAUUUAAGCAAACAAUAUAAUUUCAUAUCUUAACAAUUGAGAAAUGUAAUUAGAGCCUUUAUUUCAAAUCAGUCAAUCAAAAAAAUAAUGAUUAGACAAUCUAUAAAACAAGAAAACAAUUAAAAGUAAUAACUUAAGGCACAUGGCAGAACAAUAAACAAUUUACAC
rnacentral:lncRNA from 1 species